GGCUGGUCCGAUGGUAGUGGAUUAUCAGAAUUUAAUAACACUAGUGUCACUAAAGUUGUUACACAACCCCCGACUGCUAAAUUUGACUAGCUUUUA
rnacentral:Y_RNA from 1 species